ACGGGAGGCAGCAGUGGGGAAUAUUGCACAAUGGGGGAAACCCUGAUGCAGCGACGCCGCGUGAGCGAAGAAGUAUUUCGGUAUGUAAAGCUCUAUCAGCAGGGAAGAAAAUGACGGUACCUGACUAAGAAGCUCCGGCUAAAUACGUGCCAGCAGCCGCGGUAAUACGUAUGGAGCAAGCGUUAUCCGGAUUUACUGGGUGUAAAGGGAGCGUAGACGGGACAGCAAGUCUGAUGUGAAAGGCGGGGGCUCAACCCCUGGACUGCAUUGGAAACUGCUGACCUUGAGUACCGGAGAGGUAAGCGGAAUUCCUAGUGUAGCGGUGAAAUGCGUAGAUAUUAGGAGGAACACCAGUGGCGAAGGCGGCUUACUGGACGGUAACUGACGUUGAGGCUCGAAAGCGUGGGGAGCAAACAGGAUUAGAUACCCUGGUA
rnacentral:rRNA from 1 species